ensembl:snoRNA
GAGCACUGUUCGUGACCUGCUGGCCUGCCUGUGGCCGUUGGGUUCCAUUCCAGUGCCACAGCAGUUCCAGCGCCGCCUGCCUGCCUGCCUGCCUCCCGGUGGCUGUCAGUUGCAGGGCUUGGAGACAAGG